GAUGAAGAACGUAGCGAAAUGCGAUAAGUAGUGUGAAUUGCAGAAUUCAGUGAAUCAUCGAAUCUUUGAACGCACAUUGCGCCCUUUGGUAUUCCCUAGGGCAUGCCUGUUCGAGCGUCAUUUAAACCUUCAAGCUCAGCUUGGUGUUGGGUGACUGUCCGCUUCACCGCGGACUCGCCUCAAAAUUAUUGGCGGCCGGUACAUUGGCUUCGAGCGCAGCAGAAACGCGAACUCGGGCCCGUCGUAUUGGCUCCCAGAAGCUAUCUUCACAAUUUUGACCUCGGAUCAGGUAGGGAUACCCGCUGAACUUAAGCAUAUCAAUAAGCGGAGGA
rnacentral:misc_RNA from 1 species